rnacentral:rRNA from 1 species
UACGGAGGGGGCAAGCGUUACUCGGAAUUAUUGGGCGUAAAGGGCGCGUAGGCGGGCUUCCAAGUCGGUGGUGAAAUCUUUCGGCUCAACCGGAAAACAGCCGCCGAUACUGGGAGUCUCGAGGGAGGUAGGGGUCGAUGGAACUUCAGGUGGAGCGGUGAAAUGCGUAGAUAUCUGAAGGAACGCCGGUGGCGAAAGCGAUCGACUGGACCUCUUCUGACGCUGAGGCGCGAAAGCCAGGGGAGCAAACGGG